rnacentral:rRNA from 1 species
GGGCCCGCACAAGCGGUGGAGUAUGUGGUUUAAUUCGAUGCAACGCGAAGAACCUUACCAGGGUUUGACAUCCUGCGAAUCUCUUGGAAACGAGAGAGUGCCUUCGGGAACGCAGUGACAGGUGGUGCAUGGCUGUCGUCAGCUCGUGUCGUGAGAUGUUGGGUUAAGUCCCGCAACGAGCGCAACCCUUGUCAUUAGUUGCUACGCAAGGGCACUCUAAUGAGACUGCCGGUGACAAACCGGAGGAAGGUGGGGACGACGUCAAGUCCUCAUGGCCCUUAUGGGUAGGGCUUCACACGUCAUACAAUGGUUGGUACAGAGGGUUGCGAACCCGCGAGGGGAAGCUAAUCCCAGAAACCAAUCGUAGUCCGGAUUGCAGUCUGCAACUCGACUGCAUGAAGUCGGAAUCGCUAGUAAUCGCGGAU